GAUGGGAUAUUCCCACUAACUAGAGCACUCGCUAGUCCCUGCUUGGAGCUCAGUGUACCCCAGGCAGUUCUUUCUCUUAUGUAAUUUAACGCACUCAACUGUAUGAUGUCAGUUUCACAGUUUGCAGGUCACACUGGAGAUGGAUGGUGAUGUAACAACAAAAGCUGACCUGGGAGAUGUUCAUGCUAACCCAGGUAAAUGAGGCAAAUGAACAGCUGAGCCUUGCUGGAGAGCCACAAGGCAGCUGGGCCUCCCAGAUAAGUAAUGUGGAUGAGUCAGGGAGUCGCCCACAGCCAGGAAACUUACUUGUCUCACCAAACCAGCCAGGUAGGUAAGUUUCCCUCCAAUUUCAGUGAGCCAAACUUCCUUUGCUGUAAGGCCCCUCUUCUCUAAGCUCUCUCUCUCUCUCUCUCUCUCUCUCUCUCUCUCUCUCUCUCUCUCUCUCUCUCUCUCUUUUAGUAGGGGGAUACAAACCAGAAAGAAUGUAUUUCUUUUUCUUACUACUUCUUGGUUAGUAUAUGAAGAGACAGGUUCCGCUGAGACAUUUCAUAUGUAUACUUAUAUCAUUAUGUACUGUUAUUAUAUCCCACCCGCUGCCACCUCCCAUUCUUCUCUUGGUUGACAUUUUUUUCUUUCCUUAUGUUUAUGUACAUGAAUGUUCUUGCUAUAUAUGUAUGUCUGUGUACCAAAUAUGGACCUGUUGCCUGCCGAGUCCCUAAGAGCACACUGGACCCCUAAGGACUGGAGUUACAGAUGGAUGUCACCAGCCAAAUUUGGCUUCUCAGAGCCUAUGUGACUCAUGUUCACAAAGCGUUUCCAACCUCUCCUUCCGAUGCCUGGCUUCACCUGGGAAGAGGAAACAUUAGCCAGGACUGGGCUAAGCCUGGAGAUCCGAUGGAGAUGUAUACUCACCGGACCAGGACAUCCUCCAAGGAUUAACAAGGAGGGGAUUAGCCUGCCUAUCCAGCCACACCACCACUGUGGGACUAUGAAAGGCAGCCUGUUCUCUGGUCGAGCCAGACUUACUCCGGAGACCCAGUAGAAACUCUACAAGGGAUGCAACAGUGAGCCAUGCUCGCAGACAGACAUAGGCGCCUGACACCACAGAGCCCCCAGUUCCAUAAUCCUGUGACUGAGAGUCACGUCCCCAAACUCCUGGUAUU